UACUCUCACUCUCCCGAUACUUUUGGAUCAGGAGUGGUGGACUUGGGUGCUGCUGCUUAACUGUGGCUCGCCUUAAAUGAAGUAGUGCAACUCUCGGUUGGACAUAGUACGGCGUGAUAAGUGUCUUCGCCGGCGCCUCAUUUGAGGGUGGCCGAUCGAGAGCUCUGUGCUUCAAACUGUCUUCGGACAACAUCUGACA
rnacentral:misc_RNA from 1 species